GUGUUCACUUUGGCAGCACAUAUACUAAAAUUGGGAUGAUAUAGAGAUCAGCAUGGCUCCUGUGCAAGGAUGAUAUAUCCCAUAUACAGGAAUUCUGUAUGUUA
ensembl:snRNA U6 U6 spliceosomal RNA